rnacentral:rRNA from 1 species
AAGUGGAGAAGGGUUCCAUGUGAACAGCAGUUGAACAUGGGUCAGUCGGUCCUAAGGGAUGGGCGAAGCCGUUCGGAAGGGAGGGGCGAUGGCCUCCGUCGCCCCCAGUCGAUCGAAAGGGAAUCGGGUUCAGAUCCCCGAACCCGGAGUGGCGGAGACGGGCGCCGCUCGGCGCCCAGUGCGGUAACGCAAACGAACCCGGAGAAGCUGGCGGGGGCCCCGGGAAGAGUUCUCUUUUCUUUGUGAAGGGCCGGGCACCCUGGAAUGGGUUCGUCCCGAGAUAGGGGCCCACGCCCUGGAAAGCGCCGCGGUUCCGGCGGCGUCCGGUGAGCUCUCGUCGGCCCUUGAAAAUCCGGGGGAGAAGGUGUAAGUCUCGCGCCGGGCCGUACCCAUAUCCGCAGCAGGUCUCCAAGGUGAACAGCCUCUGGCGUGUUAGAACAAGGCAGCGUAAGGGAAGUCGGCAAGUCAGAUCCGUAACUUCGGGAUAAGGAUUGGCUCU